AAGAAGCACCGGCUAACUACGUGCCAGCAGCCGCGGUAAUACGUAGGGUGCGAGCGUUAAUCGGAAUUACUGGGCGUAAAGCGUGCGCAGGCGGCUUUUUAAGACAGAUGUGAAAUCCCCGGGCUUAACCUGGGAACUGCAUUUGGAACUGGAAGGCUAGAGUGUAGCAGAGGGGGGUAGAAUUCCACGUGUAGCAGUGAAAUGCGUAGAUAUGUGGAGGAAUACCGAUGGCGAAGGCAGCCCCCUGGGUUAACACUGACGCUCAUGCACGAAAGCGUGGGGAGCAA
rnacentral:rRNA from 1 species